rnacentral:misc_RNA from 1 species
GGUCGCGCUGCUCUGUGCUUUCGCUCUCUUCUGCGGGUGCCUCUAGCCGGUUUUUCCUUCAUUGUGGCGCUGGACAGCUGCAGUCGAUCGCGUGCACCCACCUUGCGUGCCUGCUGGCGUGUGUAGCUUCGCAUGGCAACAACGCCUACAACCAAGAACACCACCUGUGCAGUUGCAACCGUGCCGCGACUCAUCUUGGGUGAUUGCUUUUUUUGUUCCCGCUUCUGUGUCACGACCCGCUCGCGUCCGUUGCACGCAUACACGCACACGUGCCGCCGCCUCCACAUUCUCUCACUCCUCGCGAACUCCCCGCCUUACGCGCAUUUCUGCGGUUGUGCGCAUCUCUUACAUCUCUUCUCGCCCUCUCUCUGUCUCCGCCUUCCGCGUGUUGUUCCACUAGCUUCGCACUUUUCUCACCCUCCCAGGCAAUGAUCAGCGCCAGGGACGCCAUUCUCCAGCUGACCUCAGGCCCGAGCUUGAUGGACAGCAUGUGCAACUUUAUUAUUCGCCCGCCUCGGUCCACCUACGAGGUUGACGAUCUUGGGCCUAACGUGUUCCGCAUCGGCGACGAUGGCACGGAGCGCUUCGUGCGCCACGACUUUGAGCUGGAAAACAUGCGGGGUUUGCGCUUCCAGUGCUCGUGGUUCAAGACCUAUCCUGCCCGCCGUGUGCCGUGCGUGGUGUACUGCCACGCGAAUUGCGGCGGGCGCUACGACGGCCUCGAGGCUCUCUUUCUGCUGCGGGAAGGCUUCAGCCUCUUCUGCUUCGACUUCUGCGGGAGCGGGAUGUCGGAGGGUGAGUACAUCUCCCUAGGCUUCUACGAACGCCAGGACCUGGUCGCCGUCGUCGAGUUUCUCACGCUCAAGAGUGACGAGGUGGACGGAGUGGCGCUGUGGGGCCGCAGCAUGGGCGCCGUAGCCGCCAUCAUGUACGCCUCGAAGGAUCCGUGGAUUCGUUGUAUUGUUUGCGAUUCGCCAUUCGCAUCCCUGCGGUUGCUCAUCGACGAUUUGGUGGAGCGACAUGGCGGGCGAACGGCCCGGGUUCUGCCGAAGAUUUUGGUGCACGGGAUUGUGGAGCGCAUCCGUAAGCGCAUCAUGAAGCGAGCCGCUUUCGACAUUGACGACUUGGACGCGGUCAAGUACGCCAAGGCGUGCGGCGUUCCCGCACUGCUGUUCCACGGCGCCGACGACGACUUUGUGUCCCCGACGCACUGUGAGAUGAUUCGUGACGCCUUCCCCAUUCCGUGCCUGCAGCAGUUCACGCCAGGCGGGCACAACUGCGAACGCCAAGAGGACAUUCACGUACUCAUCAGGGCCUUUUUGCGGCUCUACCUGAUCGACAAGCCACAAGGAGCACGAGAGAUACAGGCAGCGCGUGAGCUCCAGCUGGCCAAUACUGCAUCACCCGCCGCCGUCGCGGCGGCGGCAGCAAACAAGGGGGCCAUCUCGCGGCUGAGUGCGCCUGCUGCUCCAGCUCCGAAGCAGCUCGUACCUCCGGCAAGCUAUGGUAUGAGGUGCGCUGGGACGGCACUAAUCUCUUCUUCCUCCACGUCGGCGACUGCGUCUUCCUCCACCACCUCUCCGUCCACAUCCGCGUCAUCAUCGACAUCGUUCGACUCUUCCCUGCCUUUGCCAGCUGCACUAAGUGUGCCGCUGUCGCCAGAGAACAGGUUGGUCUACGACUGCUCCAACUCACGAGAUUCCACUCCGCCACCAAAGGCAGCGGCGACGCUGGCCAGCUCACUCCCACCGUCUCUCACGCCUUUCCGCUCGUCCAGUGGAACACGAGCGCACGUCAGCGCUUCCACGGCGACAGUGGCAGGUGAGGGGCACGCGACCAGCGGAGCUACCGUACCGCCGCCCAGCUCUCCGGCCGCAGAUUCCACUGACGGCUUGCAGAACUGCACUGCAAGCCCGUAGCGAUGGUUGAUCCCUUGUGGCGCGACUCUCGAAGGGUGCUAUGUGCGGGUUAUUGGUGGGCGUCGCUGCACGUGAAGGCGAGGGGCGGGGAGAAGGAUGUAUAAGGCUGCUUUUCUGCACACCCAGACUAAGGAGUGUCUGUGUGUGUGUGGGAGGGGAGACGGCGUGCGGCGUUGACAGACGAGAAGUGUGCACAGUGACGAACAGGCGAGGUAAUGGACGGCCUCCGAAAGAAGGCUCGGGUAGGGACAAUGAGGAGGCUGCGGGCAACACGAGGAAGGCUUUGCUUCAGCGCAUAGCAGUCUCGUCUUCGCUCCCUCCUCUUCGCGGCAUUGCUGAGGAGGCGUACAGCUCCUCCGCGUCCCCACCACGCCACCCCGUUUUCACUGUGCCCUCGCUGCCUCUCUCUCAGCUCCGCUUCAGUGUGCUGAUGGCGCUCACUUGCUUUGCCGAAGCAGCCUGAUUUCUUCUGCUUACGUUGUGCGCGCCGUGUACGCUCAUGUGUGCUGCUGUUGAGAGGGCACUGCUCGCUCGCUUUCUGCAUCCCCUAACACACCCUCCUUCGGCUCCGCGUUCUUUUCUCGGUGGCUGCUCACCCUCUUUUCCCAGGAGGGGGCCAGAUGUCUGCUACGCGCCUCUCGAGCGCUGCCUUCUUCCCCCUUUUCCACUUCUCUUGCCCUGCAUCACCAUCGUCGUUGUCAUCGCUGCGGACUGCGUGCAUGCAGGUGAGGCCGCGUGCGAUAGCGCUCUGGUGUGUAUGCAUCUGUGCAUAUAUGUUGUGCGUCGAGGGAGGGAGGGAGGGGGACGGUGUUGGGGGGAACCACGUUCGCUCAACGCCGGGUCCUCCUUCUCCUCCCUAGAGUGUUCCUGCUCGGAUGUUGCUCCUUUGAGAAAGCGGAUUUUCGCACGCAUCGGCGCGUACAUAGAGAACGCAACGCACCUACUGCGCGGCGGGGGGACAGAUCUAGGUGGGAAAGUGUGUGUGUGGGGGGGAGU